rnacentral:lncRNA from 1 species
AUUUUUCUGCUUUAGAAGUGGGAAUAUAGGGCAAAGAGAACCUGGAUUAUGGUUUGAAGAUAUAAGUUUUCUCCUCAAGCUUUCCAGUAACUAAUUGUGGACUGCAUAAAGACUUUAAAUUUUCCAGGGUCUGUAAAAGUUUCUAGAAGAAAAGGUUGGAAAGAAGCAUUAAUCUUGAAAUACAAUGGUGUGGAGCACAGCAAAGAGCUUUCUGGGGUCGGAAGGGAAACCUAAAAUGUAAAUAUGUGAGUGGAUAAAAUAAUGGAGAAAUGAUAAAAAACUGGAAGAUAUACUGUUGGAGAAGAGGAUCAGGAGUUAUGAGGCGAGAAGGAACAGAGGUUACUACAGUGAGUCUCCAACUUAGGAAUGAGUUCCGUUCUGGGAAAAUGUUCAUAAGUUGGAUUCAUCUGUAAGUCUAACAAACUGUGCCCAGCUUCCUUCCAGCCAUAAUCUGACUCAGGGUAUGGCCUUUAUGAGAAAUCAGGGGCUUUGAGAAACUCUCCUUUCAUGUGUCAGUGGUCAGCUUCAGCAAAAGGAAAGCCAAGGGGGUGUGGUUGCUCCCUGCUGUUUAGACUCUUCAGCCAUCAGAUCUGUACCUUCAGGUAGGAGACUGUGUUCUGGAGAAUUUUACAGUUGUUCCUUGGUCUUUGGUUUUAUUCACUUUUUAUCUAAUCUAUUUUAUUUAUAGCUGAAACUUUUCUAAGUUUGUGCUUUGUGGAUAAU